AAUACAGACUUCGAGCCACGGGCAAAAUCUGUUCAUAUCAGGGAAAUACUUUGCCGUUCCAUUGCGGCCAAAAGAAUUCAGUAUGAUAUUCCCCGUAGUUGCCAGUCAAGCAAUCCAUUCAUCCGUUCACAUGUGUGCUUUCUUCCACGUUGAUAGUUAUCAAUCCAACCAUGAAAUCAUGAACGGACGAAGCUUCAGGUUCAUUGGGUAGCUGCUAACAGAAUCGCCUGAUUAGCUUUGCCUCUCCAGUCUCACAAUGUAGAUAGGUGUAAAUACGGCAGGGUUUAUUUCCAGAGUAUGGACCACGUGGUGGCAGCGGCACUGCUUUAUUUCUUUUUGGAAAAAUGGGUCUUAGAAAGAACAAAAAGAAACCCGCCCCAGGCCCCCAACAUGUCCUGCACGGAAACCAAUAAUAUCCUUCUUCAAACUUUCCAUGGUAGCCAGAUUCACCCAUGCCGCAUGUCUCUUCACUUUCCUAUAGAACUUUUCUUCUUUCUGUGGACCCUUUUCUAGUCUUUAGAACUUUAUCCAGAUGACAUAUGGGUAAUAUAAAUAGAGGCCUGGGAGUUCAUGUCAGUUUGAAAACAACAAAAGUGUUCAAAUUAGCUGGGGAUAGUGGGAAGGAGCAUGGAGAAGCAUUGAUAUGAAGGCAGGCGUGGUGCUCAAGCUGUUAAUUUGCCUCUUCUUGCUUGGUCAAUACCAAAUAUCAGCUGCCAGGCCAGUUGCAGGAAUGAUGGGAUUAAAGGACCAGCAUCAGGAAAUGAAUGGGAAGCAGGUGAAUGGGCAAGAGCCAGUGCCUCAGUCUCAGUUGUGGACCGAGGAUUAUUCUCUUCCUCGCAGGAGACGGCCUGUACACAACAAGUUUGAUCCCUAAAUGAGGCAUCGCCCUCCAUUUUGUGCGGACAGGGAAUUUACUUCAAGUGUAUGAUCAGCUAGUUGUUUGAUAGCUUUUAUAUAAAGAUUGGAGCAUACCAGUCUUUGCUUUUUUUUUUUUUUUUCUCCUUUUGGUAGAAGAAGGAACAUUGUCGCACAAAACUAGCCAGAAUUUCUAGGUUACAUCUUGAAUUCCUCUCUUUAUCUACAGUUUUGUUAAUAUCAAAUACUUGAGCCCCAGGCAUAUAGUUUAA